rnacentral:rRNA from 1 species
AUUGAACGCUGGCGGCAUGCCUUACACAUGCAAGUCGAACGGCAGCACGGGUGCUUGCACCUGGUGGCGAGUGGCGAACAGGUGAGUAAUACAUCGGAACGUACCUUAUCGUGGGGGAUAACGCAGCGAAAGCUGUGCUAAUACCGCAUACGCCCUGAGGGGGAAAGCGGGGGAUCGCAAGACCUCGCGCGAUUAGAGCGGCCGAUGCCUGAUUAGCUUGUUGGUGGGGUAAAAGCCCACCAAGGCGACGAUCAGUAGCUGGUCUGAGAGGACGAUCAGCCAAGCUGGGACUGAGACACGGCCCAGACUCCUACGGGAGGCAGCAGUGGGGAAUUUUGGACAAUGGGGGCAACCCUGAUCCAGCAAUGCCGCGUGAGUGAAGAAGGCCUUCGGGUUGUAAAGCUCUUUUGUCAGGGAAGAAACACCGGCUCUAACACAGUCUGGGAAUGACGGUACCUGAAGAAUAAGCACCGGCUAACUACGUGCCAGCCGCCGCCGUAA